rnacentral:rRNA from 1 species
CGCACAAAAACCGCAUGGUUUGGUGUGAAAAACUGAGGUGGUAUGAGGUGGACCCGCGUCUGAUUAGCUAGUUGGAGAGGUAACGGCUCACCAAGGCUACGAUCAGUAGCCGACCUGAGAGGGUGACCGGCCACAUUGGGACUGAGACACGGCCCAAACUCCUACGGGAGGCAGCAGUGGGGAAUAUUGCACAAUGGGGGAAACCCUGAUGCAGCAACGCCGCGUGAGUGAAGAAGUAUUUCGGUAUGUAAAGCUCUAUCAGCAGGGAAGAAGAGAGACGGUACCUGACUAAGAAGCCCCGGCUAACUACGUGCCAGCAGCCGCGGUAAUACGUAGGGGGCAAGCGUUAUCCGGAUUUACUGGGUGUAAAGGGAGCGUAGACGGCUUGAUAAGUCUGAAGUGAAAGGCCAAGGCUUAACCAUGGAACUGCUUUGGAAACUAUGAGGCUAGAGUGCUGGAGAGGUAAGCGGAAUUCCUAGUGUAGCGGUGAAAUGCGUAGAUAUUAGGGAGGACCACCCAGUGGCGAAGGCGGCUUACUGGACCAGAAACUGACGUUGGGGCUCGAAAGCGUGGGGAGCAAACAGGAUUAGAUACCCCUGGUAGUCCACGCGGUAAACGAUGAAUGCUAGGUGUUGGUGGGCAAAGCCCAUCGGUGCCGUCGCAAACGCAAUAAGCAUUCCACCUGGGGAGUACGUUCGCAAGAAUGAAACUCAAAGGAAUUGACGGGGACCCGCACAAGCGGUGGAGCAUGUGGUUUAA